CUUUAAAAAUCUGGAUCAAGCUGAAAAUUGAAACGACACACAGUUAAUGUGUGUUCGAGUCUCUCAAAUUUUCGCAAUCAGAAGUGAAACAUCUUCGGGUUGUGAGGUUAAGCGACUAAGCGUACACGGUGGAUGCCCUGGCAGUCAGAGGCGAUGAAGGACGUGCUAAUCUGCGAAAAGCGUCGGUAAGGUGAUAUGAACCGUUANNNNNNNNNNNNNNNNUGUGAACUCGAAGAGUAGGGCGGGACACGUGGUAUCCUGUCUGAAUAUGGGGGGACCAUCCUCCAAGGCUAAAUACUCCUGACUGACCGAUAGUGAACCAGUACCGUGAGGGAAAGGCGAAAAGAACCCCGGCGAGGGGAGUGAAAAAGAACCUGAAACCGUGUACGUACAAGCAGUGGGAGCACCUUCGGGUGUGACUGCGUACCUUUUGUAUAAUGGGUCAGCGACUUAUAUUCUGUAGCAAGGUUAACCGUAUAGGGGAGCCGCAGGGAAACCGAGUCUUAACUGGGCGUUAAGUUGCAGGGUAUAGACCCGAAACCCGGUGAUCUAGCCAUGGGCAGGUUGAAGGUUGGGUAACACUAACUGGAGGACCGAACCGACUAAUGUUGAAAAAUUAGCGGAUGACUUGUGGCUGGGGGUGAAAGGCCAAUCAAACCGGGAGAUAGCUGGUUCUCCCCGAAAGCUAUUUAGGUAGCGCCUCGUGAACUCAUCUUCGGGGGUAGAGCACUGUUUCGGCUAGGGGGUCAUCCCGACUUACCAACCCGAUGCAAACUACGAAUACCGAAGAAUGUUAUCACGGGAGACACACGGCGGGUGCUAACGUCCGUCGUGAAGAGGGAAACAACCCAGACCGCCAGCUAAGGUCCCAAAGUCAUGGUUAAGUGGGAAACGAUGUGGGAAGGCACAGACAGCCAGGAUGUUGGCUUAGAAGCAGCCAUCAUUUAAAGAAAGCGUAAUAGCUCACUGGUCGAGUCGGCCUGCGCGGAAGAUGUAACGGGGCUAAACCAUGCACCGAAGCUGCGGCAGCGACACUAUGUGUUGUUGGGUAGGGGAGCGUUCUGUAAGCCUGCGAAGGUGUGCUGUGAGGCAUGCUGGAGGUAUCAGAAGUGCGAAUGCUGACAUAAGUAACGAUAAAGCGGGUGAAAAGCCCGCUCGCCGGAAGACCAAGGGUUCCUGUCCAACGUUAAUCGGGGCAGGGUGAGUCGACCCCUAAGGCGAGGCCGAAAGGCGUAGUCGAUGGGAAACAGGUUAAUAUUCCUGUACUUGGUGUUACUGCGAAGGGGGGACGGAGAAGGCUAUGUUAGCCGGGCGACGGUUGUCCCGGUUUAAGCAUGUAGGCUGAUUGUCCAGGCAAAUCCGGAUAAUCAAGGCUGAGGUGUGAUGACGAGGCACUACGGUGCUGAAGUAACAAAUGCCCUGCUUCCAGGAAAAGCCUCUAAGCAUCAGGUAACAUCAAAUCGUACCCCAAACCGACACAGGUGGUCAGGUAGAGAAUACCAAGGCGCUUGAGAGAACUCGGGUGAAGGAACUAGGCAAAAUGGUGCCGUAACUUCGGGAGAAGGCACGCUGGUGUGUAGGUGAAGUCCCUGCGGAUGGAGCUGAGACCAGUCGAAGAUACCAGCUGGCUGCAACUGUUUAUUAAAAACACAGCACUGUGCAAACACGAAAGUGGACGUAUACGGUGUGACGCCUGCCCGGUGCCGGAAGGUUAAUUGAUGGGGUUAUCCGUAAGGAGAAGCUCUUGAUCGAAGCCCCGGUAAACGGCGGCCGUAACUAUAACGGUCCUAAGGUAGCGAAAUUCCUUGUCGGGUAAGUUCCGACCUGCACGAAUGGCGUAAUGAUGGCCAGGCUGUCUCCACCCGAGACUCAGUGAAAUUGAACUCGCUGUGAAGAUGCAGUGUACCCGCGGCAAGACGGAAAGACCCCGUGAACCUUUACUAUAGCUUGACACUGAACAUUGAGCCUUGAUGUGUAGGAUAGGUGGGAGGCUUUGAAGCGUGGACGCCAGUCUGCGUGGAGCCAACCUUGAAAUACCACCCUUUAAUGUUUGAUGUUCUAACGUUGGCCCCUGACCGGGGUUGCGGACAGUGUCUGGUGGGUAGUUUGACUGGGGCGGUCUCCUCCCAAAGCGUAACGGAGGAGCACGAAGGUUAGCUAAUCCUGGUCGGACAUCAGGAGGUUAGUGCAAUGGCAUAAGCUAGCUUGACUGCGAGCGUGACGGCGCGAGCAGGUGCGAAAGCAGGUCAUAGUGAUCCGGUGGUUCUGAAUGGAAGGGCCAUCGCUCAACGGAUAAAAGGUACUCCGGGGAUAACAGGCUGAUACCGCCCAAGAGUUCAUAUCGACGGCGGUGUUUGGCACCUCGAUGUCGGCUCAUCACAUCCUGGGGCUGAAGUAGGUCCCAAGGGUAUGGCUGUUCGCCAUUUAAAGUGGUACGCGAGCUGGGUUUAGAACGUCGUGAGACAGUUCGGUCCCUAUCUGCCGUGGGCGCUGGAGAAUUGAGGGGGGCUGCUCCUAGUACGAGAGGACCGGAGUGGACGCAUCACUGGUGUUCGGGUUGUCAUGCCAAUGGCACUGCCCGGUAGCUAAAUGCGGAAGAGAUAAGUGCUGAAAGCAUCUAAGCACGAAACUUGCCCCGAGAUGAGUUCUCCCUGAGACU
rnacentral:rRNA from 1 species